GACGAUUACAUAUCAUGAUGUCAUUUGAAGACUUUCUUACUCAAUUAUUUUUGUAAGCUCCAAUCUUAAGUUAAGUAAUUGUCUGUAUUGUGCUGAAGUUUCUACUUUUGAGAAAGCUCUGAUCAAUGAUAGUCACUAAAAUAUGAUUGUUUUGACUGUAAUGGCAAGGUUUUCUCCUCCACACAAUAAUCCAUUAUUCUUGCUACAGUAAAUAAUAAUAAUUCUUAACCAUAUUCAUAAGGGCAACUUUAAUAGAUUCUUGACUAUGAGCACACGGUUUUGAGCACAUGGUUUUCUGUCAUUAGACUUUUUAUUAGCUCCUGCAUUUUGAGGACCAAAGACAAUAUCUUCAUUAAUCCUUUAGCAGCCUUUUCUUAUUUUCAGGAAAUGGUCAGGGAAGAAAAAGUAAAAGUUCUUACUCCAAGGGGAGAUGGGUAUGCAAUUCAACACUCUAAUAAAACCUUAGUUGAUGCUUGUCCCUCUACAGGACACAAAAAGGUGGACAAGCCUUGCUAGAAUGAAGUAAAAAUUGUGUUCAACAAGGACUUCAUUACUAUACUCCUGCCUGUUAUCUCAUUUUAAUAUUCUUCUUGCUGAUUGUCAUCUUAGUUCUAGUUAAUGUAAAAUGCACUGAGCUUCUUAUCUGAAA